rnacentral:rRNA from 1 species
CCCUUAGAUGUUCUGGGCCGCACGCGCGCUACACUGAUGCAUUCAACGAGCCUAUCCUUGACCGACAGGUCCGGGUAAUCUUUGAAUCUGCAUCGUGACGGGGAUAGAUUAUUGCAAUUAUUAAUCUUCAACGAGGAAUGCCUAGUAGGCGCAAGUCAUCAGCUUGCAUUGAUUACGUCCCUGCCCUUUGUACACACCGCCCGUCGCUCCUACCGAUUGAAUGAUCCGAUGAAUAUCAUGGAUUGAGGAUGCAAGUAGGUUAGCCUAUCUUCAUCUUCGAGAAGUGAAGUAAAUCUUAUCAUUUAGAGGAAGGAGAAGUCGUAACA